rnacentral:rRNA from 1 species
CCUACGGGGCGCACCAGUGGGGAAUAUUGCACAAUGGGCGCAAGCCUGAUGCAGCCAUGCCGCGUGUAUGAAGAAGGCCUUCGGGUUGUAAAGUACUUUCAGCGGGGAGGGAGGCGAUAAGGUUAAUAACCUUGUCGAUUGACGCUACCCGCAGAAGAAGCACCGGCUAACUCCGUGCCAGCAGCCGCGGUAAUACGGAGGGUGCAAGCGUUAAUCGGAAUUACUGGGCGUAAAGCGCACGCAGGCGGUCUGUCAAGUCGGAUGUGAAAUCCCCGGGCUCAACCUGGGAACUGCAUUCGAAACUGGCAGGCUAGAGUCUUGUAGAGGGGGGUAGAAUUCCAGGUGUAGCGGUGAAAUGCCUAGAGAUCUGGAGGAAUACCGGUGGCGAAGGCGGCCCCCUGGACAAAGACUGACGCUCAGGUGCGAAAGCGUGGGGAGCAAACAGGAUUAGAUACCCUUGUAGUC